ACACAAUUAUAUAUUAUAUUUCUACAUGUUUUUAUAUUAUAUUAAACAGAAAUAUUUAUAUAUUGUAAUACUUAUAUGUGUAUUUUAUAGUAUAUUUGUUCUUCUUUCUGAUAGAUUUUUAUAGCGACAGGAGAACUUCCAUUCCCAUCUUACCCUUUGUCAGUUGAAUCCUCCUGAAUGAUGCCUUUUAAGUAAUCGGAUGGAGCCUUUUCCAAGCCCAUCCAUGGACCAAUCUGCAUGUAUUCCCUUAUUCUAAGCCCUAAAUCCUGGACUUAGCCUUACAAAUGGCAACCUGCUUUCAGGUCCCCUCUCCCUGUUGAGACCUUUCUGCUGCUCAGUAAAAUUCUGUUCUACCUACUCACUCUCCAGUGUCCACAUACCUUAUUCCUCUGGGCUGCAGAACAAGAACCUGGAACUUGCCGAACUGAGGAAGUAAAAGAACUGUACUGCUCCUAGUCACAUCUUACAUGGUGUCUGGAAAAACAUUCAAGUAAGAAGGGGACAACACAAACACAGCAGAUCACUCGUAAAUUUGAAAAGGAUGUCCUGUGAGAUAACAACAUGGCUGCCCUCAAUGCUAUCAAAGCACUAGAACUGCUCCCAGGCAAGGCUAAGCAGGUUCUCUGUAUUAGUAAAGGAAUGUUGGCCAUGUUGCUCUUUGGAAAUCAACUGCAAUUCACCAUGCAAACAGUGAAACCUUAAUGGAAGGAGAAUUGUCUACGAUAAACAAAUUUACACUAUAUGAAUUUAUGGGACAUGUCUCCUUGAAGAAUGUCACGUAAGUAAACAACUCUCUGGGGUUAAAAGAAAGAGAAGAUAUUAAAUAACUUAAGAAGCCUGUCCAGGUAGGUGAUCUAUAAUCCUCAUUUUAAAAUCGCUUUUAUUUGGGUCAGAUAGUAUAUGUCCAGUGGGAACAUAGCAUGUGUCCAACAUGGGAAGAAACAAUCUGUGGAGUCAGCAGGAUGUGCAAAGCCUCUCUCUGCCCUUUAUUUGUUUGCAUCACGGCAAUUGUUAGUUAAGCUCACUACUGCGAAAAAUCUCUGAUUUGUGGUUUCCUAUUAGAAAAUCAGAUCUUUCUGUUAGAUGAGUGUUCUGUUUUUUUUAGGUACUUAACUACAGAUGAUUUUUGUAAUCCUUGAAUGAGAAUUUUUUCAUCUCAUUCAUACUUAAAUUGGUUUAUAGAUUUAACUUUUUCACCAGCUUUUAAAAUUUGGCAAUGUAUUUGCAUGGCACUCAUAAAAGGAAUUGAGAAACACUAUUUUUUUUAAUGUUUAAGUAUGUUUAAAAUAACAUACAUUAGAUAGGAACUUUAGCAUUUAUCAAUUAUGUUUUCUUAUCACUCACUUAGCAUGUAAAAUAAUACAAAUAAUUUGCCAUUUUGGAACAUCAAUAACUAUAGGUGCCCCAGGGAUACUGACCUAGAUUUCAGGUAUACUCAUCACUUGGUAUACUCAGGGGAUUGGUUCCCACAAUAUCACCUUCAGAUACCAAAAGCCACUGAUAUUUAGUCUUUGCUAUAAAAUAGUGUAAUAUUUGCAUAUAAGCUAUGUGCUUCCUCUGCAUAUUUUAAAUCAUCUGUAUAUUACUUAUAACACCUGAUAUAGCAUGAAUGUUAUGUAAAUAGUCAUUAUAUUGCAUUGUUUAGGGAAUAACAAGAACAAAAGCUCUGCACUUGUUCAGUACAGAUGCAAUCAAUCAUUCAUUAUUUUUCGAAGUAUUUUCCAUCUGCAGUUGGUUGAAUCCACAGAUGUGGAACCCGCAGAUGCAGAGGGCUUCUUAUAUAACGGUGUUGUUUUCUUUUGGUAGUACUUCAAGCCUACAGGACAAUGUAGGUUUCCUUCCAUUUAAGGCCUGGAGCAAAGCUUAACAUUUUACUAUUUUUCAGGAAUUCAGCAGACAGAGGCCUGAGAGUUUUCUUAAUGAGGAGGUGUUUCAUCUGAGAUCUAUGUCUGCUGAAUUCUGUUCGCCCUAGUGAAAAUAAAAUCAACUGGAUUUGAAGGAGACUAUGCUUCCAAGACUGCACAAUUAAGUGAGAACUGAACCCUUGAGUAGCCGACGACAGGAGCCUGAGCAGCUGUUUUCAAAACAGAGCAAACUUUCUACUGAAGAAACCUGUUAAUAUUUCUGCAGAUUGAGGGCAUGACAUCAGACAAAUUAGAUAUGGUAAGUCAUAAAGGACACGGUUACAAAAAUAUACUUUAUAUUUAAGGGAAAGGUGCUUGCAUAAAAGCAAUUUCCAUGUAAAAUAUAAAAUUGUCUUUUUGGUUAGCUGAGACACCAGGCUUUUGUUUUGUUUUGCUUUUAUGCCUUCUAGAUUAAGAAGUUCAUCUCACAUAGAAAAGCUAUCUCCUAAAAAGUUUUCCCUUUCACUGACACCAUCAUACACCUUUUUCUGGACCAAGGUACUUAAUGUUUGCACUACAUUUUGAUAUCAGAGCUACCCUGGCUCUAAGAGAGUGAACAACUGUCAGAAAAGUUUCUUUCAGGAAGAAGGGCAGAGAAAGGUCAUAAGCCAGGGAGACAGAGGAAGCUAGAUCCUUGUCCAAGUGCUAACUCCAACACAAACCAAUUCUGACACCCUGAGGCACUCUUAUCCUUUCAAAGCCUCAGUUUCUCUAUCUACUAAGUGUGUUUUGUCAGCUUUAAAAGAUUCAAUAUAGGCCAGGCAUGGUGAAAUCUUGUAAUCCCAGCACUUUGGAAGGCCAAGGCCGGUGGAUCACGAGGUCAGACAUUCAAAACCAGUCUGGCCAACAUGGUGAAACCCCAUAUAAACUUAAAACACAAAAACUGCUAGCCAGGCGGGGUGGCAGGUGCCUGUAGUCCCAGCCACUCAGGAGGCUAAGGCAGGAGAAUUGCUUAAACCUGGGAGGUGGAUGUUACAGUGAGCAGAGAUCACACCACUGCACUCCAGCAUAGGUGACAGUGCGAGACUCUGUCUCAAAAAAAAAAAAAAAAAAAAAAGAUUCAGUAUAGUCAAAGUGUCACAAGUAAAUGCAAGUUAUAAAUUUUAUUUCAGAGAUUUGGAAGGCAUACCAAGGCAAACAGAAAAGCUACAGUAAAUGACGACAGCGUGGUAUUGACAAAUUAAGGGCCAAACAGAUCAAGUGGUCAGUAGUCACAUGUGGCUAGUGGCUACUGUAUUGGAGAGUACCGCUGUUUAGUAUUUGUUUAAUUCAUUUAUUCAUUCUACUGUUAUUAUGUGGGUUCUUUCUACUUUAGAGAUAUUACUAGUAAUGCUUCUAUGAACAUUUUAAUACAUGUUUUUAACAUUUAUAGGUAUGCAUCUCUGUUGCAUAUGUAUGCAGGAGUGGAAUUGCUGACUUAUAGCUUAUCAUGUAAAAGUUCGUAAGUUACAGGCAAACAAUAUUCCAAUGUGGUUGUAUCAAUUUGCCCUCCAUCAGCAGUGUGCAAAUUAAUUUAAAAAUUAUGUCUACACAAAAACGUGCACACAGAUAUUUGUAUGCCUUAUCAUAACUGCUAAAACCUGGAAGCAACCAGCAUGCCCAUCAAUAGGUGAAUGGAUACAUAACUUGUGAUAUCACCAAAAAUGAAGGACUUGCUUAUGUAUUCAAUAUUCAAAAUACUACCAAGCCAUGAAAAUACAUGAAGGAAACUUAAGUGGGUAUUACUGAGUGAUAGAAGCCAAUCUGAACAGGCUUUCUCCUGUAUACUUUUAGCUAUUUCACAUUCUGGAAAAGGCAAGACUAAGGAGACAUUCAAAAGAUCAUGGUUUCCAGGGUUUGGUGAAGGCAGGGGAUGAAUAGGUGGAGCACAGAAGAUUAUUAGGAGAGUGAAAUCAUUCUGUAUACUACUAUGGUGGAUACAUACAGUAUACAUUUGUCUAGAUUCAUAGGUGGUACAAUACCAAGUGUAAACUCUAACAUCAUUAUGAACUCUGGGUGAUAAUGAAGUGUCAGUGUGGGUUCAUUGAUUGUAACAAAAUGUACCACUCUGGUGCUGUGGGAUGUUGAUAAUGGAAGAGGCUUCACAUUUGUGGGGACACAGUAUAUGAGAAUCUCUGCACUUUUUGCUCAAUUGCUGUGAUGUUAAAACUUCUCAAAAAUAAGCUAUUAAAAAACUAAAACAGUAAAUUAUUUAAAUGACAAUAUAGUAGAAUAAUGACUUUUAUAGGCAAAAUGGCAUAAAGAAAUAGUUGUUAUAUCUGAUAUCAACAUUUGCAUUUUUACAGAUGUACUUGUGUAUAGGACUGUUUCUAAUUGGAUGGUAAAACAUUAUUUGCAAAUUAUGUGCAUUUUUGAAUCUAUUGUUGAUAAUAAGGCCAGAUGCUACAACACUCAAAAGAUUUAAAAGAGUCUAAGUGAAAAGUUUGAGGAUAACUGUGGCUCACUCCGUCAUCAAACUUUUAUUACCUCAUGAACGAUUCAGUGAACAUAUGCUAUUUGCUAGCACUGUCAAAGUACAUUAAAUAAAAAGAAUAUCCUAGUUUAUCAAAAUACAAUGGUGAAUGUUAUAGACAAAAUUGAAGAUUUACACUAUACGAUUGUACUUGCUUCAGAACAGAAUAUGAAUAAGUGAAAAGAAAAUUUAGUGGAGUUUUUUUCCUUUUUCCAAAAGAUUUUCAGGGGAGGAAGAAAAAACAGUUUGGACCUUAAAAAAUAAGCAAGCUGGCCGGGCGCGGUGGCUCACACCUGUUAUCCCAGCACUUUGGGAGGCUGAGGCUGGUGGAUCACAAGGUCAAGAGAUCAAGACCAUCCUGGCCAACACGGUGAAACCCCCGUCUCUACUAAAAAAUACAAAAGUUUGCCGGGCAUGGUGGCGCAAGCUUGUAGUCCCAGCUAUUCAGGAGGCUGAGGCAGGAGAAUCACUUGAAUCUGGGAGGCAGAGAUUGCAGUGAGCCGAGAUUCCACCACUGUAGUCCAGCCUGGUGCUUGGCAACAGAAUAAAACUCUGUAUCAAAAACAAAAAAAAAAAAAACAGGUUAAUAUUAGUUGAAGACUAGAACACGAUAACCAGAUGAGCUAAUUCAAAAGAGGGGCUACUCAUGGUUUAGUUAGUUGUGAAUUUCAUCAAAACUUUAAUUUAUCAACUAUGGUUUACUAGUUGUUGUGUUAGACAUUGAAGUCUAACACAUUGAAGUAAGUCGGUGAUUACAACGGAGCCUACUGCAUAUUGAAAGAGAUAGUGAUGCAAACCCAUGAUUGUAAUACAAUUAUGAUAUUAUUUAAGCAUAAAAACCAGUGCUUCCUGAAAACUUAAGCAUAAAACCCAGUGCAUACUGAUAACUUUUAGUAGUUGCUGUUAAAUACUAAAUUCCAGAGAUAUUAAGUAUUUACUUUCAGAUCGCCUGUGUCUGCGACCUCCUAUUCUAAUUAUUCCUCUGGUAGUAGUUUUAUUACUAGCUCAGAGGCCUGGCAUAUCUAUAUAGCAGUGCAUAAAUUGCUGUAAAGCUAUUUAUAUAAAGAAUCUCUAAGCCCAUCAGCUGGGUUUAGGGAAUUGAGCCAUUACAAGAUUGCAAGAUCCACUGGUUUUGUUCCUUUGGAUAUUUCUUUAAUAACUCUUUAUUUACUAUGCUCACUUUAGGAGUAUAUAUGCCAAAAUUGGAGCUGAAUCAGUCAUACUCUGCUUUACUCUGAGGUGGCCAUGUGAAGACAGUGAAAACACGUUUGCUUCCUCUUCACCUUCUACCAUGACUGUAAGUUUCCUGAGUCCUCCCCAGCCAUGCUUCCUGUACAGUCUGUGGAACUGUGAGUCAAUUAAGUCUCUUUUCUUUAGAAAUUACCCAGAUUCAGGCAUGCCUUUAUAGCAAUCUGAUAACAGACUAAUGUACUCAUCAAAGUAUCUUAUGAUAGAACUGACUCAAUAAAUUUAGAAUAACAGUUCACGAAGAUAAGUACAAAACAAGACAACUUGUUUCUCAAGCCAACUCUAGGAUCACAUGCAUUUUUCAUUCACACAUACACACACACAUACACACACACACACACACACACAAAACACUCAUAAAAAUAUAA